UACGAAGGGGGCUAGCGUUGCUCGGAUUUAUUGGGCGUAAAGAGCGUGUAGGCGGCCAGGUAGGUCUGCUGUGAAAACUCGAGGCUCAACCUCGAGACGUCGGCGGAAACCAUCUGGCUAGAGUCCGGAAGAGGAGAGUGGAAUUCCUGGUGUAGCGGUGAAAUGCGCAGAUAUCAGGAAGAACACCCGUGGCGAAGGCGGCUCUCUGGGACGGUACUGACGCUGAGACGCGAAAGCGUGGGGAGCGAACAGG
rnacentral:rRNA from 1 species